AGUUUUUCUGAUGAUGUAUCUUUAGUAGAUGUAUCAGUGUUAGUUACUUUUGGCUCAGUCUCUUUACAGGGUUCUAGAAUACUUCCAAUUCCUGUUGAGGUGCUACCCACUGAGGUGUUUCUCCUGUGACUGAGUUCAGACAGACUGGCUGAUCUAGAGUGACAUGUGCUGUAUUCUGCUGGGGAAACACAGUGGAGCUAGAUGAGAUUGGACAAGGAGAAGAGACAGGAGUUUUAAGUGGUGCAGCUGGACUGAAGAGUUCCUACAGUGAACAACCUGAGCUAAUCUGGUACAAGCUCUAUUCUCAGAUGCCCUCAGAAACAAUGGGGAAAAUCCAUAAUGCUGGAUCAGGGCUGCUGCAGCUCUCCAUGGGUCCUCAGGUCCAACCAGUAGUGAUGCUGAAGAUACGUUCCAGGUUGCAGUUGAAAAACUGUUAAAAAUAGCACAACUCAUUACUAAGUCUGAAGACUGCGCACAGAAUUCAUAUGUUGUGCAGGAAGAUGAGAGAGAGGGACAGCAGCCCAUGUGACAG